rnacentral:rRNA from 1 species
UACGUAGGUGGCAAGCGUUGUCCGGAAUUACUGGGCGUAAAGCGCGCGUAGGCGGACCUGCAAGUCGGGGGUGAAAGCCCGAGGCUCAACCUCGGAACUGCCUUCGAUACUGCGGGUCUCGAGUCCGGGAGAGGUGAGUGGAAUUCCUAGUGUAGAGGUGAAAUUCGUAGAUAUUAGGAAGAACACCAGUGGCGAAGGCGGCUCACUGGCUCGGUACUGACGCUGAGGCGCGAAAGCGUGGGGAGCAAACAGG